ACUCAUUCAUCCUUUGAAUUAGGGAGGAUGUUUGGUUGUGAUGAAAGCUUAUAAAAGAGGAAAAGAGAAAUUGAAUUUUAACAGACUACAGCCCCACUUCAUUUCCCCAACACCACAUCAAAGAAAGACAAAAUGAACGUUGCUGUCUUGACUGCCAUGGUCACUGUAGCCCUUGUCCAUCUGGGCACUACGAACUCUUUACCUUGUCAAGACAGAAGCUCCCGAAGUCAAUAUGACGAAUUUAUCAAGAGACACAUCCUUCAAGAUGAAUUUAACCGAAGUCUUCCAAAAGAGUGGGAGAAAUAUUUGAAAAAGAAAGGCCUCUGGUGCAGAACUCCGGUGCAGUCCUUCAUCGAGAGUAGAGAUCGGGGGAAUAUCGAUGGGAUCUGCAGCCGAAAUGGUCGACGCCUAAUUAAUGCCUUCCCAGAUAACUUGUGCAUCAGCAGUUCAAACAUACUAGUACAUGACAUCGAGUUUCAAAAUGGCUGUGAACUUAAUGUGAGAUCACAGCAAAAGCCUGUGAUUGUGGCCUGCAAUAAUGUUGAAAACCGCUGCCGCCCUGUGCAUUUUCAGAAAUACCAACAGCAAAUGCCAAGCAAUAUGCCCUGCAUGUAGCCACAGUUGAUGUACUAAUUAGUCAAUCAGGCUUUUCAAGUAUAAUCUCAAGCUCAAAAGUCAAACAAAUGAAUAAAUGUAUCCUACAGAGCUUGCUGAAUGGUGCAACUCUGAGUAUCUGUCUUCCUGUUUAUUUAAUGUAACAGUGAGUUCCUUUUCAAAUAAUUUGAGUAAAUGUUCAAAGUCAUCCUUGUCAGUCAUUGUUGUCAUUUUUAGAAUGUUGGCUUUAUUCCUUGUCAAUUUGGUUAAAUAUUUCAACACAAUUACCAUAAAGAGUGAAUCUUACGCAUGUUUUGUUGUAAUUGGGAAGUCUUCGUUACUGUGAUUCAGUCUUGUUCUCCACGUGCUGUGCUAUAGCUAGUCUGGCCUUUAUCUGGAAUCCAUUUUUAAGGACAUGUAAAACAAUUAUAAAACAGUUGUCAGCUUUUCUUGUCUUUCAGCUGUUAAUACCAUUAAAUAUAAAACCAUCUGCAGUCUGAAGGUGUGAUGAAGGUACAUACUUAUCUGUAAUUAUUUUAUUAGGUGGUUAUGAAGGCCCGGUGUCAUUUUCUUGUACUACUGUUAGUAUGUGAAUUUACAGGGUGUUUGCAUAUCCUGAAAUAAACAUAUGACAAAAUUA